GCGGGCGCCGCUCUCCCGGGGGGCUGUUCGGCCUCCCCACUCCACUUCUCGGUCCCCGGGAGUCCUCGGGCUCCGAGGGACCCUGCACCGCGGCACCUCGGGCCGUGUGGGAACCCAGCCGCGGCCGAGGCCAGCCCGCGGUUCUUCGGGGAAGGGUGACUCUGCAGCAACCGACGACUUGGCCAAACUUUUCAGCCCGGACACCGGGAGACCAGCACACGCUCCGCGGCCGGGCGCCGGGCUUUCUAGGGUUGCGCCUCUACCUGCCAGAGCCGCGGCGCGGGUGUAGACGCGGCUGUCCGCUCUGGCUCCUGCCUGGUCUGAACUUUGCGUGCGAGUGUGCGCGGCCAGGGCCCCGCCAGCCUGCAGCACCGCAGCUCCGCCUGAGCCCCGGGGCGCGCCCUCGAUCCUGGGGUCCCUCCGAGCGCGGGAUGAGGGGCCUAAGGCCCCCGCAAUUUCAGGCGAUCCGCAAUUUCAGCUGAUCCGCUUGCGGGAACAGAGGGCCCACCAGGAUCCCCUCCCCCGCUGAACUGGCCGGGCCUGGGGCAGUGACCUUUGGACGGGACUUUGCCGAGCCUAGUGGCUGGGGAGGGUCCAGGUUGCACCCGGUGGGUAUGAUCUUGCAGGGCCCUGGAGCGGGGGACACAGUUUUGAGCGCAUAAAGCUGAAAGGUUUGGGAACCGACUUCCCAGAGGGCUCCCUAGCGUCUGACUUCACCUCCCCCUCGCCUGCCCCCACCUUGCAAUCUCAUGCUUUAGGAUUGCGCUCCACAGAGAAACCUGUCGCCCAUCCAUCCCAGAGGACGCCCAGGAAGCUUCAAGUUUGUUGAGGCAGAUUCCUUGGAAAGCCUUUUGGAAUCUUUUUGGGUGCCAUGGCCCAUGAGCGCGUCUCGGGGAUCCAUUCCCUGCUUUGCGGUUUGAAAGUCCCGGGUCUGUUUCAUGAUGGACGCCUUGCGGCUGCCUCCUCUAGCCUUGUGACCUCAUCUCCCAGGGCCUCAGUUCUAAGCCCAACAGAAGAGUUGGGCGGAUCUUGUGCGGGCAGAGAUUGGGGGACAGCUGCAGCCCCAGCCCAUAAACUAUGGACCCUGAAUGCUUGCUUUUCCUUGGAAGCCAGCCCGCAAAGACAAAUACCAUCUUGUGGGAAGGACUGGGGAUUCCAAUGGGGAAGGGGCCCCAGAGGCAAGUGUCUGCCACACCCCAGGUUGCAGGGUGGAAUUGGCCAGGAUCUGGGAGGAGGGAGGACAAGUGGCUGGGGCCUGACCUUACCUACUUCCCAUUUUUCCCAGGGAUGACCUAGCCUGACCCAUUUCCUCUUACCUUUCAUUGUUCUUUACCUAUUCAGUUAUUUAGCCUGUCUGUGCCUCAGUUUACUUCAUGAGACUAUGCAGUAUAACUCCUCUUUGCUGUUGUUUUAAGUAUUAAAUCCAUAGAAAUGGUGUAGCACAUUGGCCUAUUGGGAAAACCCUCAAUAGUUAUUGUAAUAAAAAGGUGUGAUCCUCCUUUUGCUCA